ensembl:lncRNA
AUGUUUAUUUGUGUGUUACAAUUUGGCCAUAUCUUCCGCUGCCAUCUAGUGGUUAUAAAAUGCAUUUACUCAAACAACACUGUGUUUUUAAACAUAACUGUUAUAGUGUUAUUUUUUGCCCAAUCUUUCUUAAAUUUUGCAUGCUUGUUUAGAAUAAAAUUAUGCAUUAUUUUUUUACACAGUUUUGAUAAUUUGUGGGCUUUCUGUUUGUAUUAAUAGGCCUUUGUGUACACUAUGAAAAGAACAUAUUAAAAAAAUUACUGGUUUAUAGUUGUCCAAAUGCAAUUGUUCAACAUGUUUUUGAUAAUUAUUGACCUUCAGAGUCUAGCGAAUUGUACUUCAGUGGUUUUAUUGAUUUUUCAGCUUAAAGCCUUGGAUUAGUUUGCCAAAGUAACUUUUUUUAAAAUAAUCUUGAAUAUUUAAUUAACAGCUUUUAUUGACAACAUUGGUCCCAGAGGCAAAGUUGUUCAGAAUGAGGACAUCUAUCAUAUGAUAUGAAGAUCUAGUGUUUGUGUGAAUAUAUGAGCAUUUUCAACCAAUUUGAGGCCAUUUACCAUAUAAAUCUUUUGUUUUUGAGGCCUUUUCUACUGUGAUAGCGCCACCUAUGGUUUGAUUUCCAUGAAACUUUGCAUGCUUGUUCAGAGUCAUCUGACACAUGUUUUCACCAAGUUUCGUAAAGUUUUGAGUUUUCAUUUAGGUUUUAUAGGCUUUUGGGUAUUUUUGGCCACGCCCCUUUUUCUAAAAUUAAGCUGUUAUAGCUAACCAAAGUACAAAAAUUCAACAUUUUUUUGAUAAUUAUUGAUCUAGAGAGUCCCGAGAAUCGUUCUGUAGUGGUUUGAUCGAGAUUAAGAGAAAAAAACCUAGGACUAGUUUGCAAAAAGUAAGUUUUUUAACUUAUUUGUGAAUAUUUAAUGAACGAUUUGAUUGACAGCAUUAGGCCCAGAGGCAAAGUUGUUCAUAAUGAGGAGAUCUAUUUUAAGAUAUGAAGAUCUAGUGUUUGUGUGAAUAUAUGAACAUGUUCUACAAUUUGAGGUCAUUUUCUGUAGAAAUCUUGUGUUUUUUGAUGCCCUCUUAACUGUUAUAGCGCCACCUAUGGUCCGAUCUCCAUGAAUCUUUGUAUGCUUGUUAAGAGUCAUCUGCUACAUGUUUUCCACCAAGUUUCAUAAUGUUUUUGAGUUUUCAUUUAGGUUUUAUAGGCUAUUGGGUAUAUUUGGCCACGCCCCUUUUAAAAAUGACCCAGUUAUAGCUAACCAAAGGACAAAAUUCAAAUUUUUUUGAUAAUUAUUGAUCUAGAGAGUCCACAGAAUAUUACUGCAGUAGUUUGGUUCCGAUCGGGCGAAAAACCUAGGACUAGUUCGCAAAAGUAGGUUUUUUUAACAUAUUUGUGAAUAAUUAAUGAACGAUUUGACUGACAGCAAUGGUUCUUGAGGCAAAGUUGUGCAUUAUGAGGAGAUCUAUCAAAUGAUAUCCAUAUUGCAUGGAUAUGUGAAACACCUAGUGAUUACAGAGCCAAAAAACUCGUUAGCGCCAACUAGUGGCCGAUUUCUUUCAAAAUUCUUACAGACCUUUAGGGCCAUGAGUCGAACAUGCCCACCGAGUUUCGUUCCGAUCAACCUCCGUUAACCUUGUCUAAUAGGUGCUUAAAUUUCAUUUGGCCAAUGGCGGCCAUGUUUUUUUGAGAUAUGCGAAAUGUCCUCAUAGACACUUGUGCCCCUUCAGACAAAGACACUGCAUACCAAUUUUCAAGUCGAUCGGACCAAUGGUUGCCUAGUUAUAGUUAUUUAUGUGUUUUUUGUGUCUUUUAGCGCCCCCAAGUGGCAGAGGUUCGCAAUUUUUUUUAUUUGACCACAGAUUGAGCUUAUACACAUGUGUACCGAGUUUGGUGAAGAUAUCUCAUUCCGUUCAAGAGUUAUAGCUAAAAUAACAUUUGGCUAACGUUAGCAUAGACGCUUUUUGGCGUACUGUUUCGCGUAAGAAUCAAAAUUUCAACUUUUUUUUGAUAAUUAUUGAUAAUGAGUGUCCAGAGAAUAUUUCUGCAGUGGUUUGGUUCUGAUCGGGUGAAAAACCUAGGACUAGUUCGCAAAAAGUAGGUUUCAGAUAUAACUCAAUUUUUGCGAGAAAAACCGAUGCGCCGUAGAGCGAAAAAUUUCGGACUCCACUUUUUGUUCGGGACUGACCCAAGGAUUACAACGAUGUAAAGUUUUUGAGUCUACGUCAAACGGUUUACGACUGCGGGCCAAAAAUGUCUGAAAUUUUUGUAUUUUGCGCUGUAGCGCCCCCGUUAGGCCGAUUGGGCCGGUUCUUUGCGCCUGAGUAGCGAGCAAGACUACUACCUUUUGACCAAGUUUCAGCUCUCUAGGCCUUACGGUUUGGGCUGCCCGUUCAGUUUUAAGGCGGAAGAAUAAUAAUAAUAAUAAUAAUAAUAAUAAUAAUAAAAAUCCUAACAAUUACAAUAGGGUUUCAGCACUGCGUGCUUGAACCCCUAAUAAUAAAUACANNNNNNNNNNNNNNNNNNNNNNNNNNNNNNNNNNNNNNNNNNNNNNNNNNNNNNNNNNNNNNNNNNNNNNNNNNNNNNNNNNNNNNNNNNNNNNNNNNNNCUUGAACCCCUAAUAAUAAUAAUAAUAAUAAAAAUCCUAACAAUUACAAUAGGGUUUCAGCACUGCGUGCUUGAACCCCUAAUUAAACUCUACACACAUUAAAAUCUAUUGAUCACUUUGAAGGAGGCUUGGCUUUUCAAGCCCAUAUAUGUAAUAAAAGAACACUCACACUAAAGGAUCAGUGCAAGCUUAUCCUUGAUUGUGUGCUUACAAUACAUACCUGAUGAUUCUAGGAUUGUUACAGCAAUCUCCUUACGCAGCUUUGACAGGAGGUGCGUAUUGGAAGGUAUCAUGAUUUCAGAUAGUGUCACUGGAAAAGCAUCCACUGUCUCCUUAGCCAUCUGUUGGGUAAUAUAAAUGUAUGUACUUGCAAAAUAAAUUAGACAUAGCAGAAUAAGAAAUUAAAAUAUUACACUAUUGAGGUUAUGAAAAAGUGAGUGUUGUUCCAAGGCUACAUAAAAUUGUAUAGUUACCUGCAUGACAUAAACGCCGCAGCUGCAACCAUCUUUCUGUAUGCUGUGGUUCACGA